rnacentral:rRNA from 1 species
GACGAACGCUGGCGGCGUGCCUAAUACAUGCAAGUAGAACGCUGAAGAGAGGAGCUUGCUCUUCUUGGAUGAGUUGCGAACGGGUGAGUAACGCGUAGGUAACCUGCCUUGUAGCGGGGGAUAACUAUUGGAAACGAUAGCUAAUACCGCAUAACAAUGGAUGACACAUGUCAUUUAUUUGAAAGGGGCAAUUGCUCCACUACAAGAUGGACCUGCGUUGUAUUAGCUAGUAGGUGAGGUAAUGGCUCACCUAGGCGACGAUACAUAGCCGACCUGAGAGGGUGAUCGGCCACACUGGGACUGAGACGCGGCCCAGACUCCUACGGGAGGCAGCAGUAGGGAAUCUUCGGCAAUGGGGGCAACCCUGACCGAGCAACGCCGCGUGAGUGAAGAAGGGUUUCGGAUCGUAAAGCUCUGUUGUAAGUCAAGAACGGGUGUGAGAGUGGAAAGUUCACACUGUGACGGUAGCUUACCAGAAAGGGACGGCUAACUACGUG